CCUACGGGAGGCUGCAGUGGGGAAUAUUGCACAAUGGGGGAAACCCUGAUGCAGCGACGCCGCGUGAGUGAAGAAGUAGUUCGGUAUGUAAAGCUCUAUCAGCAGGGAAGAAGAAAGACGGUACCUGACUAAGAAGCCCCGGCUAACUACGUGCCAGUAGGCGCGGUACUACGUAGGGGGCAAGCGUUAUCCGGAUUUACUGGGUGUAAAGGGAGCGUAGGCGGCUGUGCAAGUCUGAAGUGAAAGCCCAGGGCCUAAACCUCGGACUGCUUUGGAAACUGUGGAGCUAGAGUGCUGGAGAGGUAAGUGGAAUGCGUAGUGUAGCGGUGAAAUGCGUAGAUAUUAGGAGGAACACCAGUGGCGAAGGCAGCUUACUGGACAGUAACUGACGUUGAGGCUCGAAAGCGUGGGGAGCAAACAGGAUUAGAUACCCGGGUAGUC
rnacentral:rRNA from 1 species